UACGGGGGGGGCAAGCGUUGUUCGGAAUUACUGGGCGUAAAGGGCUCGUGGGCGGCCAACUAAGUCAGACGUGAAAUCCCUCGGCUUAACCGGGGAACUGCGUCUGAUACUGGAUGGCUUGAGUUUGGGAGAGGGAUGCGGAAUUCCAGGUGUAGCGGUGAAAUGCGUAGAUAUCUGGAGGAACACCGGUGGCGAAGGCGGCAUCCUGGACCAACACUGACGCUGAGUGAGCGAAAGCCAGGGGAGCAAACGGG
rnacentral:rRNA from 1 species